rnacentral:rRNA from 1 species
UUAGAGUUUGAUCCUGGCUCAGGAUGAACGCUAGCGACAGGCUUAACACAUGCAAGUCGAGGGGCAUCAUGAGGUAGCGAUACCUUGAUGGCGACCGGCGCACGGGUGAGUAACGCGUAUGUAACCUGCCCGACACAGGGGAAUAGCCCAUGGAAACGUGGAUUAAUGCCCCAUAUGGCCAUGAGUGCGCAUGUACUUUUGGUGAAAUUUACGGAGGUGUCGGAUGGGCAUGCGUCCUAUUAGGUAGUUGGAGAGGUAACGGCUCCCCAAGCCGAUGAUAGGUAGGGGUUCUGAGAGGAAGGUCCCCCACAUUGGAACUGAGACACGGUCCAAACUCCUACGGGAGGCAGCAGUGAGGAAUAUUGGUCAAUGGACGGAAGUCUGAACCAGCCAAGUCGCGUGAGGGAAGACUGCCCUAUGGGUUGUAAACCUCUUUUAUAAGGGAAGAAUAAGUGCUACGUGUAGUACGAUGCCAGUACCUUAUGAAUAAGCAUCGGCUAACUCCGUGCCAGCAGCCGCGGUAAUACGGAGGAUGCGAGCGUUAUCCGGAUUUAUUGGGUUUAAAGGGUGCGUAGGCGGUAUGUUAAGUUAGUGGUAAAACGGUUGGGCUCAACUCAAUCUAGCCAUUAAAACUGGCAAACUCGAGUUCAGACGGGGUAGGCGGAAUAAGUUAAGUAGCGGUGAAAUGCAUAGAUAUAACUUAGAACACCGAUCGCGAAGGCAGCUUACCAGACUGCGGCUGACGCUGAAGCACGAGAGCGUGGGUAUCGAACAGGAUUAGAUACCCUGGUAGUCCACGCCGUAAACGAUGCUCACUGGUUCUGUGCGAUAUACAGUACGGGAUCGAGCGAAAGUAUUAAGUGAGCCACCUGGGGAGUACGUCGGCAACGAUGAAACUCAAAGGAAUUGACGGGGGCCCGCACAAGCGGAGGAACAUGUGGUUUAAUUCGAAGCAACGCGAAAAACCUUACCAGGGCUUGACAUCUAACAAAUCUUUCGGAAACGAGAGAGUGCUCUUCGGAGAAUGUUAAGACAGGUGGUGCACGGUUGUCGUCAGCUCGUGUCGUGAGAUGUUGGGUUAAGUCCCGCAACGAGCGCAACCCUCGUCGUUAGUUGGUACUGUCGGUAUACUUACAGUAACCUCUCUAGCGAGACUGCCGGUGAUAAACCGGAGGAAGGUGGGGACGACGUCAAAUCAUCAUGCCCCUUAUGCUCUGGGCUACACACGUGUUACAAUGGGUAGGACAGCGAGCAGCGAACCUGCGAGGGCAAGCAAAUCUCUAAAACCUAUCCUCAGUUCGGAUUGCACUCUGCAACUCGAGUGCAUGAAGUCGGAAUCGCUAGUAAACGCAGAUCAGCACGCUGCGUUGAAUACGUUCCCGGGUCUUGCACACACCGCCCGUCAAG